rnacentral:rRNA from 1 species
CGCGGUGAAUACGUUCCCGGGCCUUGUACACACCGCCCGUCAAGCCAUGAAAGUUUGGGGUACCUGAAGUACGUAACCGCAAGGAGCGUCCUAGGGUAAAACAGAUAAUUAGGGCU